AUUGAACGCUGGCGGCAUGCUUUACACAUGCAAGUCGAACGGCAGCACGGGAGCAAUCCUGGUGGCGAGUGGCGAACGGGUGAGUAAUAUAUCGGAACGUGCCCAAUUGUGGGGGAUAGCUCGGCGAAAGCCGGAUUAAUACCGCAUAAGAUCUAAGGAUGAAAGCGGGGGAUCGCAAGACCUCGCGCGAUUGGAGCGGCCGAUAUCAGAUUAGGUAGUUGGUGGGGUAAAGGCUCACCAAGCCUGCGAUCUGUAGCUGGUCUGAGAGGACGAUCAGCCACACUGGGACUGAGACACGGCCCAGACUCCUACGGGAGGCAGCAGUGGGGAAUUUUGGACAAUGGGCGCAAGCCUGAUCCAGCAAUGCCGCGUGCAGGAUGAAGGCCUUCGGGUUGUAAACUGCUUUUGUACGGAAUGAAAAGUCUGAUGCUAAUACCAUUGGAUGCUGACAGUACCGUAAGAAUAAGCACCGGCUAACUACGUGCCAGCCGCCGCGGUAAAAC
rnacentral:rRNA from 1 species